rnacentral:misc_RNA from 1 species
UCCUGAUGAAGCACAGGGCGGAUCUAAAGGUUUUCCAUCAGAGAUUGGCGGACAUUGAAAAUAAAACCGGCUAUAGAAAAUGAUUCACAGACAGUCUUUAUCGAAAGAAUCCGGGUUUAAAACAUUGAAUGUUGAGUAUAAAUACGACUGUGAGACAUUUGUAAAAUAUGAUCGCUUAUCUUGUCAUAUGUUCACAUUUCUCGUAAAUAUUGAAUUUAGAACAAUACCUCCGUGUUUUAGUUGAUAUUAAAACAGUUUUCUUUGUAAUUUAGUACCAGACGUGUAUAUUCUGUUGCAUUACUCAUCUUGCGCCAGGAAUGGUUUUAUAGUCAAUUAUUACGUAAUAGUCUUGUGAGCUCAGUGUUAUCUGAUAAAAUUAAAAGAAGUUAAAACGUGU